UUACUAGGUGAGCGUUUUAGUGCUUUCCUACUCUUUAGGAUAAUCGAAGGAGAAGCACGCCAGAUUAUCCACUAGUAA
ncrna:unclassified sequences CyVA-1 RNA